AUUGAACGCUGGCGGCAGGCCUAACACAUGCAAGUCGAACGGUAACAGGAAACAGCUUGCUGUUUCGCUGACGAGUGGCGGACGGGUGAGUAAUGUCUGGGAAACUGCCUGAUGGAGAGGGAUAACUACUGGAAACGGUAGCUAAUACCGCAUAACGUCGCAAGACCAAAGAGGGGGACCUUCCGGCCUCUUGCCAUCGGAUUUGCCCAGAUGGGAUUAGCUAGUAGGUGGGGUAACGGCUCACCUAGGCGACGAUCCCUAGCUGGUCUGAGAGGAUGACCAGCCACACUGGAACUGAGACACGGUCCAGACUCCUACGGGAGGCAGCAGUGGGGAAUAUUGCACAAUGGGCGCAAGCCUGAUGCAGCCAUGCCGCGUGUAUGAAGAAGGCCUUCGGGUUGUAAAGUACUUUCAGCGGGGAGGAAGGGAGUAAAGUUAAUACCUUUGCUCAUUGACGUUACCCGCAGAAGAAGCACCGGCUAACUCCGUGCCAGCCGCCGCAGUAA
rnacentral:rRNA from 1 species